rnacentral:tRNA from 2 species
CAGAGAAUAGUUUAUUGUAAAAUACCGGUUUUGGGAAUCGGCGAUAAGAGGAAACUCUUUUCUCUGA